UCCGUAGGCGGUGUGGCAAGUCGGAAGUGAAAUCUCUGGGCUUAACCCAGAGGCUGCUUCCGAAACUGCCGUGCUAGAGUGUGAGAGAGGCGAGUGGAAUUGCGGGUGUAGCGGUGAAAUGCGUAGAUAUCCGCAGGAACAUCCGAGGCGAAAGCGGCUCGCUGGAUCACAACUGACGCUGAGGGACGAAAGCUAGGGGAGCAAACAGGAUUAGAUGCCCUGGUAGUCCUAGCCCUAAACCAUCAGGACUUGGGGUUUGCCCUGUACGGGGCAAGUCCCGUAGCUAACGCGUUAAGUCCUGCGCCUGGGGAGUACGGUCGCAAGGCUAGAA
rnacentral:rRNA from 1 species